UACGAAGGGGGCUAGCGUUGUUCGGAUUUACUGGGCGUAAAGGGCGCGUAGGCGGCAUGUUAAGUCAGCUGUGAAAUCUCCGAGCUUAACUCGGAACGGUCAGCUGAUACUGAUGUGCUGGAGUACAGAAGGGGCAAUCGGAAUUCUUGGUGUAGCGGUGAAAUGCGUAGAUAUCAAGAGGAACACCUGAGGCGAAGGCGGCUUCCUGGACUCUAACUGACGCUCAUGUGCGAAAGCGUGGGGAGCAAAC
rnacentral:rRNA from 1 species